CCUACGGGUGGCAGCAGUGAGGAAUAUUGGUCAAUGGCCGUAAGGCUGAACCAGCCAAGUCGCGUGAAGGAAGAAGGAACUAUGGUUUGUAAACUUCUUUUAUAGGGGAAUAAAGGUAUCCACGUGUGGCUAUUUGCAUGUACCCUAUGAAUAAGCAUCGGCUAACUCCGUGCCAGCAGCCGCGGUAAUACGGAGGAUGCGAGCGUUAUCCGGAUUUAUUGGGUUUAAAGGGUGCGUAGGGUGGUUUUUAAGUCAGCGGUGAAAGUUUGUGGCUCAACCAUAAAAUUGCCGUUGAAACUGGAGGACUUGAGUGUGUUUGAGGUAGGCGGAAUGCGUGGUGUAGCGGUGAAAUGCAUAGAUAUCACGCAGAACUCCGAUUGCGAAGGCAGCUUACUGAGCCAUAACUGACACUGAAGCACGAAAGCGUGGGGAUCAAACAGGAUUAGAUACCCGAGUAGUC
rnacentral:rRNA from 1 species